rnacentral:rRNA from 1 species
CUUUAUUGGAGAGUUUGAUCCUGGCUCAGGAUGAACGCUGGCGGCGUGCCUAAUACAUGCAAGUCGAGCGAAUGGAUUAAGAGCUUGCUCUUAUGAAGUUAGCGGCGGACGGGUGAGUAACACGUGGGUAACCUGCCCAUAAGACUGGGAUAACUCCGGGAAACCGGGGCUAAUACCGGAUAACAUUUUGAACCGCAUG